UCAUUUGCCAAAUUUAACUUUUUGAAAAAUUCAUAUUUAAUAAUAAAUUAAUGCGAUCGAUUUUUUUAUACAUGCGGGUAUAUUUUUGAAGUCAGAUUUUUCUAAGGAUCUUAUGUGACCAUGAAAGAUAGAUUGAGAAAGGAUAAAAAACUUGCAACAAUAUUAAAGAAACAAAACUUUCUCAUUUUUCUUAACUGUUUAUAUUUGGAAGAUUGGAUUAGUCACUAAAAUAUUCCAACCAUUUUUUUUAUAAAUAAAUCAAAAACUUACAAAAUAUUUUAAACGUAGUGUUUUUAAAAAGAACUGCUCAUAUUAGAAAGAAUGGCAAAAUUGACAAAAACAUUACAACAGUCAAGAAUAGGUUUUAAAAAUAAAAUAAAAAAUAUUUUAGAAGUCAAACUUUUUUCUGGAAGAACUGCUCAUAUUUGAAGGAAUGGAAAAACUCACAAAAAUAUUACGACAAUCAAGAACAGGUUUUUUUAAUGAAAUAAAAACUUAAUGAUAUUUUCAGAAGUCGAACCUUUUUUAAAGAACCUUAAAGAAUGGAAAAAAUCACAAAAACAUUACGACAGUCAAGAAUAAGCUGUUUAAUAAAAAUAUAAAACUAUUUUAGAAGUCAACCUUUUUUGUAAGAACUGCUCAUGUUUGAAAGAAUGGAAAAACUCACAAAAAUAUCAUGACAAUCAAGAAAAGGUUGUUUUUAGAAUAAAAAAACAUUGAGAAGUCGCCUUUAUUUCAAAGAACUGCACAUGUUUGAAAGAAUUAUCCCAUUCUCAUACUCACAAUAUCUCACUCACAGAAAAAAUCGGAUUUGUUAGUAAGAAAAUAUGUUUUUCAAGAAUAUUUAAGAAGUUUAUAUAAUUAUUAUUAUUUGUUUCAUUUUUU